UUUUCUGCUACCCUUAUCUCAGCCAAUAGUAACACUUUCUGUUGGGCCAUUGCAUUGCCACUGAUUUUCCAACAUAUAAAAAGACAAGCCCGAACAGUCGUCCGGGCUUUUUUU
rnacentral:sRNA from 1 species